ACCUGUUAUUAUUUUCUUCCUCUGCAUCUCUGAAUAUGCAAAGCUUCUUUGGAGUUUAUCGAUCUUCCAAGCUAACAAAGGAUUUUCAAACUCACACUUCUUCAGCUGCCGAAAUAGAGAACAAACUUCUCACUGACAAACCCGUUUUCAAUUUGGA